AGUUUAAGUUUUAAACAACAAAAUUAUUGUUUAACCGGAUGGAAGCGCUCUGGCUAAAUAGGUCCUUACAGGAAGAACUUAAAAUUGGCUUUAACUUAAAUGCUGCUAAUGGUUAUUCAGUUGCUAAUCUGACUCACUGUUCUGUAUGGGGACUUUGUCUAAUAUUGAGCACAUUAAGCACUUACACUAAUGAUCUGUUUGGUUCCCAGGAGGAUACAAAGAUGAAGGAAUGGCUUCUCCAAAAUUUCCAGUCUUGGGGAAAGGGCAACAAGGACAAAAAUCACAAAACAUGCCCCUGGGGUUGAGUUCACCCCCAAUAGGGAAGUCUAGUCUUUGGAAGUAGAAUUUCAGGGAGAGGUAUUCUAGGCCUACCAUACAUAGUACUUGGGCUCUGUGACAAAUAAUGCUUAGUUCAAACUCCAUAAAAAGCCCCUCCCCAAUUCCCCCUGAGUAAAGUUCCUUGCCAUGCUCCUAUCCCUUAAACCCAAUUUUGCCUCUGUAGAACAGCUCCUAUGUGCCAAAUAGUCUUCAUAAAAAACACUGUGGGAUGGGAAUUAUGAUUCCCUUCCUGUAGAUGAGUGAGUAAAUGAAGUGAUUUGUCCAAGAUAAAAAUCAAGAGGCAGAGCCUAGACUCUAUAAAGUUAGAUUCCAGGUAUAGGUUCUUUCUAUAGCACCAUAACUGUCAACGCCAUUGAAAACUGCAUCCCAGUCUCCUACUAAAUUAGUAUUAUUUUUUUAAACCAAAAAAAUCUGAUUUAUAAAAGCAUUUUAAAUACCUAAUAGUAAAAAUGAUGCAAGAGUGAAAGGUUAUUGACUCAUAAACACAAAGUAUCCUUAAUGUAAUUAUAUAAUACAUAUUUAUAUAGUUAGAUCUGUUUGGUGGCAAAUACUUGUUAAUAAACUUCUGCCCAACUCAAUGUAAAACAUUGGUUAAAUCAGCAUAGAAAUCUUUAGACUCUUAGGUUACCAAGAGAACAUUAUAUGGUAAACUCUCGAGUGUAGAAAAAUAUAGAAGAAUAGCCUCUCUCCUCCCAUGGCCCUAAUAAAACAGCAGUGGGAAUUGCCACAUACAGUAUAACUAAAGUAAGAGUAACGGCCUGAUUGAAACCUACAUCCACAGCUACAUCCUUCCUGAAAGUUCACCAUGUAACUAGAUUUCGUUAGAGAUAAUACUGAGGGACUGUCAAAAUUCUUGUCACACUGGAAUUUCCUUCUAUUGACUUUUUCAAAUAAGUGAACUAACAGCUGAAGAUUAAAAUUCAUCUGUCAGAACAAGAAGAGUACAUAGUCUUAUUUAAGUUUGUCUUCUGUGGUCUAUUACAGGGAGAAUUUCUAAAAUACAUAAGAAAUACAUGUAUAUAUAUUCGUAUAUUGCUGUGUUGAUUUCAUUCUAUUGUUUUUGUCUUGAGCCUUGACAAAGGUAAAAACUGCCAGCUCUCCUUCCACCUACCAAGACAUGGGAUCAGAUAUUCCAUUACAAAAGGGACAGUGCCAAAUUUGGUGUAAACUGUAAUGUAAAUUGUUGGGGUAGGAACA